rnacentral:rRNA from 1 species
AUUGAACGCUGGCGGCAGGCCUAACACAUGCAAGUCGAGCGGGAACUUCGGUUCUAGCGGCGGACGGGUGAGUAAUGCGUAGGAAGCUACCCGACAGAGGGGGAUACCAGUUGGAAACGACUGUUAAUGCCGCAUAAUGUCUACGGACCAAAGUGUGGGACCUUCGGGCCACAUGCUGUCGGAUGCGCCUACGUGGGAUUAGCUAGUUGGUGAGGUAAUGGCUCACCAAGGCGACGAUCCCUAGCUGGUUUGAGAGGAUGAUCAGCCACACUGGAACUGAGACACGGUCCAGACUCCUACGGGAGGCAGCAGUGGGGAAUAUUGGACAAUGGGCGCAAGCCUGAUCCAGCCAUGCCGCGUGUGUGAAGAAGGCCUUCGGGUUGUAAAGCACUUUCAGUAGGGAGGAAGGAUGUUGUGUUAAUAGCACAGCAUUUUGACGUUACCUACAGAAGAAGCACCGGCUAACUCUGUGCCAGCCGCCGCGGUAAGAC